rnacentral:misc_RNA from 1 species
GAUGAAGAACGUAGCGAAAUGCGAUACUUGGUGUGAAUUGCAGAAUCCCGUGAACCAUCGAGUCUUUGAACGCAAGUUGCGCCCGAAGCCACUAGGCCGAGGGCACGCCUGCCUGGGCGUCACACGCCGUUGCCCCCCCAUCUACUCCUUCGGGAUUGCGGGGGGGCGGAUGAUGGCCUCCCGUGCGCCUAGCCGCGCGGUUGGCAUAAAUACCAAGUCCUCGGCGACGCACGCCACGACAAUCGGUGGUUGCGAAACCUCGGUUGCCCGUCGUGUGCGUUCGUCGCGCAUCGAGGGCUCGAAAAAAUGCUCGGCUCCGGCUGGGCUUUCAACGCGACCCCAGGUCAGGCGGGGUUACCCGCUGAAUUUAAGCAUAUCAAUAAGGGAGGA